rnacentral:lncRNA from 1 species
GAAAACAAAAAGAAGAACAAAGGAAGAAAAGAAGAACAAGAACCCUAGGUGGGAAAAUUCAAGGGAAAAUUGGUGGAUUUCAAGUAAUCAAGCAAUCAAAGGUAAAAUUUCUUGAUUUUGACUUGUGAUCUACCUUUCCCAUGCAUUUCUCUUUAUUUUCCAUGGUUAAAUUUCAUGUUUUCAUGGUGAAUUCAUGGCUGGCCGAAUGGGUAUGGAGAGAGAAUGAUGUUGGAUUGAUUUGAUUUCAAGUUAUGUUAGUGUUUUUAGUUAGUUAGUGAUGUGUAGCAAGAAAAGCCAACAAGAAAAAUUCAUUUUCUCCCAUUACCCAUAAGAGACCGAAUUUUCUAGGCAGAAUAUUGAGGCUGAAAUUGAUGAUAUUUCAUUAAAUUUUAGUGAUAUUUGAUGUUUGGUGAGGUUAAAAAUUAAAUGGGAAAUUUUGGUGUAUAAAUCUGAAUUUUUGCUCAACGCAUAGACAUGUGUGAUUAUUGACCCAAGACUGAUAAAUUGUAAAGCCCGACCUUAUAAAAUACUUGUCAUGACAUACAUGUGAUGGAUAGCAUGUUUGCAUGCUAUGAGAGUCCCGAAAAAUUUACAAAAGUCGGUAUUAUACCUAGAGAUACAACAAAGUUGAUUUAAGCCUCGAACUAGUUUAAAUAGGAAUUUUAAAGUGAAAUUGAGAAUUUCACGGUCUAGGGAUGACUCAAAUUGGUAACUCGGAAUUCGAGGAUCAAUUUGGAGUCAAACUGAAAUUUUUACUAUCUAGGGGCAAAAUGGUCAUUUGCCACUUGGGGACAAAAUGAGAAUUUUAGUGUGAGACCUCAACCUCAAUAAGCCUGUAACUAAGCAUAAAUGUAAUAAUAUGAGCCAAGGGUAGUUUUGUCAUUUUCUCUAAUAAGCUCCCAAAAGAAAGUUUUAUGAUAUUUUAAGGUCUAAAUAGGCAUAAGACUGCAUAAAUGAUGUGUAAUGAUGAAAACACGAAAAAAACUAAAAAUGAUAAUAAUUUUCACGAUAGGGGCAAAAUGGUCAUUUUUCACCUCGGGUUAAAAUUUUAAGUUUUCAUGAACCCGAGACAUGUCUAGACCAUUAUGGAUCUUGUCUCGGUGUCAAAGGAGUAAAAAGAUUACACAAAGGGUUGCAUGAGAACAAGCUAACUAGUCAAGGGUAUUUUCGUAAUUUUAAAGGAAUGGAUAAGUUUGGCCUAUAAAUACUUUCUUCCAGCAGCUUCUUCUCCCAUUUUCCAGUAGCUUGUCUUCUUCUUCUUCUUCUCUUUCAUAUUUCUUCAAAACCUCCAUGGAAGCUUGAUAUGUAGCUUGCAAAAUUUUCUCUCUCUAACUCUAGUUUUCAUAUUUUUGAGCUCUUUUGACUAGAACCCUAGCAUUCUUUCACUUUCUCACUUCAAAACCCUUGGUAAAGUUUAUUUUCAUACUUUCUUUCACUAGCUGGGCGUUCUAGAGAGAGAAAGAGAGAAUUACCCCACUUAUUUGGAAGCUAUUAGAAGGGAAUUCAACUACAAAGAAAACAAAGGGUGAGUGAUGAACUAAGAUUGAUUUUUAGCUAUGAAUAAGGGCUAGUAAUUUAGAUUAAGAGCUAUUUUAUUGUUGAGUAUGUUCAUUAAUUUUUUAGUGAUUAAGAUAGUGAAUAUAGAUAGCCAUUUAAUGCGGCAAUUGAAAGCUAGCUAAGAGAUAGCUUUUAGGGUUCAUAGUGUGUGAAUUGACCUAUGAUGUGAUCCUAGGUUCUAAUGAAGUCCCAUCCUUCCAAUUGGAUCAUUAGGGGAAUUGGAGUCAUUUAAAGGCUCAACAAAAUAUCGGUGAGUGGACUGCCUAUCAAAAUCAUUUUGGGAAUGUGACUGUUUUGUACAAAGUGUUUGAAUGAUUUUAUAAAACUUUUCUCAAAAAAUGAAUGCCUUGGGAACAAGCUCUUGAGAAAUGGUUUAUGUUAUGACAUGUGGUUAUUAUGGAUUUCUAUGCGGCUACAUUAUGUUGAUAUACUUAUAUGUUUGAAUAUAGUGUUGUGUAAUUAUAUUGACUCGGCUAUGUGCGAGUAGGGAGUGCGCAUAAGCCGAGGAUGACCCGAUUAUGUGCGAGUAGGGAGUGCGCAUAAUCCGGUGAUUACCCAGCCAUGUGUGAGUAGGGAGUGCGCAUGAGCUGGUGAUGAUGAUGAUGGAAUGGUGUGCAUGAUGAUGAUGGGUAUACGUAUACAUAUAUACAUAUGUUAAUAUGUGUGUUAUAGGAAAUUAAUGAGUAAUGGUAUAUGGUUGUAAUGCAUGUGAAACUUGACAUGUUAAACUCUGAAAGAUUGUUAUGCGUUUCAUGUUGGUUUGAACAUUUUAGCAAGGUGAUUGUUCUUUGGGAGAAAGCGCAAUUUUACAUUAGUGCCCUGUAUCUCGCUGCAGCGAGAGUCAUUCUUGCUGCAGCGAGAAACUCUCGAGUUUGAGAACCUUCAACAGAAUUGGUUCUCACUAC